rnacentral:rRNA from 1 species
GACGAACGCUGGCGGCGUGCUUAACACAUGCAAGUCGAACGGGCCUUGUCCCCUUUUUUUUUGGGGGUGGGGUUAGUGGCGAACGGGUGAGUAACACGUGAGUAACCUGCCCCUCACUUCUGGAUAACCGCUUGAAAGGGUGGCUAAUACGGGGUGUUCUGGCCUGCUCGCAUGGGUGGGUUUGGAAAGAUUCGACCGGUUUUGGUUGUUUUGGUGGGGGAUGGGCUCGCGGCCUAUCAGCCUGUUGGUGGGGUGAUGGCCUGCCAAGGCUUUGACGGGUAGCCGGCCUGAGAGGGUGGGCGGUCACACUGGGACUGAGACACGGCCCAGACUCCUACGGGAGGCAGCAGUGGGGAAUAUUGCACAAUGGGCGCAAGCCUGAUGCAGCGACGCCGCGUGAGGGAUGGAGGCCUUCGGGUUGUGAACCUCUUUCGCCAGUGAAGAAGGUCCUGCUCUUUGUGGUGGGGUUGACGGUAGCUGGGUUAAUGAAGCGCCGGCUAACUACGUG